rnacentral:misc_RNA from 1 species
AAGUCGUAACAAGGUCUCCGUUGGUGAACCUGCGGAAGGAUCAUUACUUGGCCUUGGGCCGCCCACGGGAGACCGUCGCUUGCGGCGGCGCUCUCGAGGGUGCUUAGCCCUUGAUCAUUACCUUGACUAUGCGCACCUUUGUUGUUCCCUCGGCCGGACGCUUCGCGUUCGGCCGCGAGGAACCCCUUAAACCUUUUGCAAUGAGCAUUAAUCUUCUGAAACAAACCUAAUUAUUUACAACUUUUAACAAUGGAUCUCUUGGUUCUG